AGGCGCUCAAGGGGACCUUCAAGAAGAACUCGAAGUGGACGCCUAGACACUUGUUUGAAUAUUUACUCUCUUGUUGCAAUAGGGUUAGAGACCAAGGGUACUCGUGAGUAGUACUAGAUUGUUCUCUUUUGAAGACUUUGAGUUAUAUUAUAACGGAUGGCUAUAGUACUCUUUUCCGUUGGAUUGUAUUUGAACUUGAAAGCUACAUAAUUGUAAGUGUGAGAUAUUUGAAGUACUUUAAUUAUGUAUUGAAGUUACUUAUAGUAUUUCGAGCUCUUGAAU